rnacentral:rRNA from 1 species
GUGAGGAAUUUUGCGCAAUGGGCGAAAGCCUGACGCAGCGACGCCGCGUGGGCGAUGAAGCUCUUCGGAGUGUAAAGCCCUGUCAGGUGGGACGAAUGUGGCGAAGGUGAAUAACCUGGGUCGCCGCUGACGGUACCACCAGAGGAAGCCCCGGCUAACUCUGUGCCAGCAGCCGCGGUAAUACAGAGGGGGCUAGCGUUGUUCGGAAUCACUGGGUGUAAAGGGUGCGUAGGCGGUUGGUUAAGUCUGAUGUGAAAUCCCUCGGCUCAACUGGGGAACUGCAUUGGAAACUAGCUAGCUAGAGUACCGGAGAGGGAAUCGGAAUUCCUGGUGUAGCGGUGAAAUGCGUAGAUACCAGGAGGAACACCGGUGGCGAAGGCGGAUUCCUGGCCGAGUACUGACGCUGAGGCACGAAAGCGUGGGGAGCGAACGGGAUUAGAAACCCUGGUAGUCC